rnacentral:rRNA from 1 species
ACCUCCCAUCCGUGUCUAUUGUACCCUGUUGCUUCGGCGGGCCCGCCGCUUGUCGGCCGCCGGGGGGGCGCCUCUGCCCCCCGGGCCCGUGCCCGCCGGAGACCCCAACACGAACACUGUCUGAAAGCGUGCAGGCUGAGUUGAUUGAAUGCAAUCAGUUAAAACUUUCAACAAUGGAUCUCUUGGUUCCGGCAUCGAUGAAGAACGCAGCGAAAUGCGAUAACUAAUGUGAAUUGCAUAAUUCAAUGAAUCAUCGAGUCUUUGAACGCACAUUGCGCCCCCUGGUAUUCCGGGGGGCAUGCCUGUCCGAGCGUCAUUGCUGCCCUCAAGCCCGGCUUGUGUGUUGGGUCGCCGUCCCCCUCUCCGGGGGGACGGGCCCGAAAGGCAGCGGCGGCACCGCGUCCGAUCCUCGAGCGUAUGGGGCUUUGCACAUGCUCUGUAGGAUUGGCCG